GACAGCUACAUUUCUGCGGCGUCGAGCCACUCGAAGGCGAGUCUGCCGUCGUCCUCGGCAACGUCGUAACCGACUCUGUGCGGCGGCUGGCUGGGCGGUCUGCAGGGCGAAACGCGCGAGAUCAACGAGAUUCCGGCCGACUACCUGAGCAAGUCGCGCGUCCUCAAGCACCUGGCCAAGGAGAUGAAGCAGGACGCGAAAGGAGGCGGCUGCCGGUGCUCGACGUCUCGCCCGAGAGACACGCGCGCCUCCUGGCGCUCAGGUACCUCAGCAGGUAGCAGCCCGACCUGACGCAGCAGCAGGAGCAGGCCAAGCCGCGACGCCGCCUCAAACUCGUGCUGCCCGAGUCCGAAAUGGUGCAGCUGCUGGUCAACGAGACCGCCUACCUCAAGGCAGAGCUCGAGAUGUGCCUCAGGAAGGUCGCCAAGAGCCAAAAGUUGGAGGAAGAAGUGGCGAACAUUCACAGACCUCACCGCAGGAGCUGAUGCAGUCGUCGGAGCGGCGCAAAAAACUCGAACGCGCGGCAAGAGGACAAUCGCCUCCUCAGGCAGCAGUAUGAGCUCCUUCUUGCCCAGGAAUCGAUUGGUGUGCUCAGAAACUCUUCAAGGACGGUCUUUAAAGAACGUUUUUCAACAGGAGACUUAUUUUAAAACGCUGGCAGACAACGUACUAAGGUUUUGAUAGGUAUUUUAUAUUUUUACUAUGUUGCCAGCCAUGUUAAAAAAUUUGUAAUUUAGAUCCGACAAAAUACGGAGUUUGGAUUACAAACGAUAAACGAUACACGCGUGUCUUCAUGAUAAGUCAUCCCAACUAUGCGAGAUCUUUUGUAGACUCCGGCCCCUCAAGCAUGCUGUGCCGUGGGAUUGAAGCUUUUGAGUUUGCAUCAGGAUGUGUUUUGUACUCGAUUCUCAUCGGCGCUUUUAACAGUUUGAAAUAUAUUUUAAAUUUUAUUUGUAAUAAUAAUCUCGGCCCAGAUUCAAGCAUCCGAGGGGAGAAAUUCUGGACCUCAGCAUGGUUGAAGAGAUGUGCGCAGCUGCUCUUGUGAAACGCGCGGUCAUGCUCACCUUUUUGCGUCAAUUUGCUAAAUUGCAAGUACGCGUCAGCGGGAAAAAUAGAACGAAACUGAAUUUCUUAUUGUUGCGCUUUUGAUACGAGUUUCUAUUGCUUUCCAAAUUUUAGUACUUGCUAGCUGGCGAAUCGAAACAGAAUCAACUUUUGCCUGUCUCGCGGCUAAUUCUUUUUUUUUUACUUCAGGGUUCUUCAUCUGCAGUGCAUCCAAAUUAUCCUUGUAAAAAUCAGGAGAUCCAGAGAAAGGACACGCAGCAGCGCAACAGAUCUGUCAGUUUUGUAAAUUAAAAUUAUUGCAGAUUGUUAAAUGAAUUUUCUUCAAGUGUUAAGGAGCAACGGAGGCUUCCAAAUGACCAACUUCCUGGCGUCGGCGCCUCAGUUGCGAAGGUUCAAGAUCGUGGAGCCGUCUGUGAUUUUUCCGCAUAAAAAAUAAUAUCGCCGAAAAGGUCCUGCGCAAUUUAAAUCAUCUUUGAACUUGAAAUUAUAUUAAAAUUGAAUUGGAUCGGCCAUAUUUUCGCGGCACAAAUGUUCCUUCAUUUUAUGUCCUUAAAAAAGUCAGAUCUGUGCAAUCCGGUGCAGACGUCAUUUGUUUCCAAGCAUCUAGUUCGUGGCGGGGAAAUUUGGGAGACCUCGCGCCCCGCCCACUUCUAUAUCAAUCAGCAUCGCGUUUGAAUCUCAUCUGAUCGGAAUGAAGAUCAUACUCGAAAAGUUCUACCAACUGUAGUAAACUUCACUCCGAUCAGCUGACUUGGAGGGAUAUAAAGGCGUGGCGAAAGAUCAGCCAA